rnacentral:rRNA from 1 species
AGAGUUUGAUCCUGGCUCAGAUUGAACGCUGGCGGCAGGCCUAACACAUGCAAGUCGAGCGGUAGCACAGAGAGCUUGCUCUCGGGUGACGAGCGGCGGACGGGUGAGUAAUGUCUGGGAAACUGCCUGAUGGAGGGGGAUAACUACUGGAAACGGUAGCUAAUACCGCAUAACGUCGCAAGACCAAAGUGGGGGACCUUCGGGCCUCAUGCCAUCAGAUGUGCCCAGAUGGGAUUAGCUAGUAGGUGGGGUAACGGCUCACCUAGGCGACGAUCCCUAGCUGGUCUGAGAGGAUGACCAGCCACACUGGAACUGAGACACGGUCCAGACUCCUACGGGAGGCAGCAGUGGGGAAUAUUGCACAAUGGGCGCAAGCCUGAUGCAGCCAUGCCGCGUGUGUGAAGAAGGCCUUCGGGUUGUAAAGCACUUUCAGCGGGGAGGAAGGCGUUAAGGUUAAUAACCUUGGCGAUUGACGUUACCCGCAGAAGAAGCACCGGCUAACUCCGUGCCAGCAGCCGCGGUAAUACGGAGGGUGCAAGCGUUAAUCGGAAUUACUGGGCGUAAAGCGCACGCAGGCGGUCUGUCAAGUCGGAUGUGAAAUCCCCGGGCUCAACCUGGGAACUGCAUUCGAAACUGGCAGGCUAGAGUCUUGUAGAGGGGGGUAGAAUUCCAGGUGUAGCGGUGAAAUGCGUAGAGAUCUGGAGGAAUACCGGUGGCGAAGGCGGCCCCCUGGACAAAGACUGACGCUCAGGUGCGAAAGCGUGGGGAGCAAACAGGAUUAGAUACCCUGGUAGUCCACGCCGUAAACGAUGUCGAUUUGGAGGUUGUGCCCUUGAGGCGUGGCUUCCGGAGCUAACGCGUUAAAUCGACCGCCUGGGGAGUACGGCCGCAAGGUUAAAACUCAAAUGAAUUGACGGGGGCCCGCACAAUCGGUGGAGCAUGUGGUUUAAUUCGAUGCGACGCGAAGAACCUUACCUGGUCUUGACAUCCACAGAACUUUCCAGAGAUGGAUUGGUGCCUUCGGGAACUGUGAGACAGGUGCUGCAUGGCUGUCGUCAGCUCGUGUUGUGAAAUGUUGGGUUAAGUCCCGCAACGAGCGCAACCCUUAUCCUUUGUUGCCAGCGGUUCGGCCGGGAACUCAAAGGAGACUGCCAGUGAUAAACUGGAGGAAGGUGGGGAUGACGUCAAGUCAUCAUGGCCCUUACGACCAGGGCUACACACGUGCUACAAUGGCAUAUACAAAGAGAAGCGACCUCGCGAGAGCAAGCGGACCUCAUAAAGUAUGUCGUAGUCCGGAUUGGAGUCUGCAACUCGACUCCAUGAAGUCGGAAUCGCUAGUAAUCGUAGAUCAGAAUGCUACGGUGAAUACGUUCCCGGGCCUUGUACACACCGCCCGUCACACCAUGGGAGUGGGUUGCAAAAGAAGUAGGUAGCUUAACCUUCGGGAGGGCGCUUACCACUUUGUGAUUCAUGACUGGGGUGA